rnacentral:snRNA from 1 species
GGAUGUGACAGUGAUCUGGCUGAGACAUCCAUCAUCCCAUUGAUCACCAGGGUUGAUUCGGCUAAUCUGACUGACGAGGCAGAUGUCCCCUUCCUCCCUCACUGCUCCACAGGUGUCCGUCCCGAAGCUGUGCGCUUGGUCAAAGAUGAGCAUCCCGGUAGAGGGGACUGGUCUUCAGUCAAGGGUAUAUGUGUGGCUGCACUCCCCUGCUAGAACCUCUAAACAGGCUUUCAAGAAGAGCCUAUGGAAGGCUGAAUGCAGUGGCUCAUGCCUGUAAUCCCAG